CCUACGGGAGACUGCAGUGAGGAAUAUUGGUCAAUGGACGAGAGUCUGAACCAGCCAAGUAGCGUGAAGGAUGACUGCCCUAUGGGUUGUAAACUUCUUUUAUAUGGGAAUAAAAUGUUCCACGUGUGGGAUUUUGUAUGUACCAUAUGAAUAAGGAUCGGCUAACUCCGUGCCAGCAGCCGCGGUAAUACGGAGGAUCCGAGCGUUAUCCGGAUUUAUUGGGUUUAAAGGGAGCGUAGGUGGAUUGUUAAGUCAGUUGUGAAAGUUUGCGGCUCAACCGUAAAAUUGCAGUUGAAACUGGCAGUCUUGAGUACAGUAGAGGUGGGCGGAAUUCGUGGUGUAGCGGUGAAAUGCUUAGAUAUCACGAAGAACUCCGAUUGCGAAGGCAGUUCACUGGACUGCAACUGACACUGAGGCUCGAAAGUGUGGGUAUCAAACAGGAUUAGAAACCCCUGUAGUC
rnacentral:rRNA from 1 species